rnacentral:rRNA from 1 species
ACGGAAGGCAGCAGUGGGGAAUAUUGCACAAUGGGCGCAAGCCUGAUGCAGCGACGCCGCGUGAGUGAAGAAGUAUCUCGGUAUGUAAAGCUCUAUCAGCAGGGAAGAAAAUGACGGUACCUGACUAAGAAGCCCCGGCUAACUACGUGCCAGCAGCCGCGGUAAUACGUAGGGGGCAAGCGUUAUCCGGAUUUACUGGGUGUAAAGGGAGCGUAGACGGUUUGGCAAGUCUGAAGUGAAAUGCGGGGGCUCAACUCCUGAACUGCUUUGGAAACUGUCGAACUAGAGUGCAGGAGAGGUAAGUGGAAUUCCUAGUGUAGCGGUGAAAUGCGUAGAUAUUAGGAGGAACACCAGUGGCGAAGGCGGCUUACUGGACUGUAACUGACGUUGAGGCUCGAAAGCGUGGGGAGCAAACAGGAUUAGAUACCCUGGUA